ACGGGAGCUUCUCUUAUUCUAUAAACAGCAGCAAGAAUGGGCAUGUCCACUUCAUUGUACUCUGGUUGGUGAUGUUGCUAUCGGAGAGGGAGUGAUGCGGUACUUUAUGACAACAAUCAUAUCCAAACUCCAGUUUGGAUUCAGUCUAGAUCUUGGAGGAAUGGGCCAAACACU